CCCUACGUGCUAGCUUAUAGUUAGCUUUUGCCAAGUGUAAAAAUCUUGGAGAAUAAGAGGUGGGCAAGACCGGUGCCAGCCGCCGCGGUAACCCCGGCGCCUCGAGUGGUGAUCAUAUUUAUUGGGUUUAAAGCAUCCGUAGCUGGUUAAGUCAGUUUUUGGUGAAAUUUAGCAGCUUAACUGUUAAGAAGGCUAAAAAUACUACUUAACUAGGGACCGGGAGGAGUCAGAGGAAUGUUGUGGGGAGCGGUAAAAUGUGUUAAUCCACGAUGGACCACCAGUGGCGAAGGCGUCUGACUAGAACGGAUCCGACAGUGAGGGAUGAAAGCUAGGGGAGCAAAUCGGAUUAGAUACCCGAGUAGUCCUAGCCGUAAACGCUGCCUGCAAGGUGCUGCAAUUUCUUCGUGUUUUUGCAGUGUCGAAGAGAAAUCGUUAAGCAGGCCACCUGGGAAGUACGGUCGCAAGGCUGAAACUUAAAGGAAUAGGCGGGGGGUCACAACAAGGGGUGGAUGUUGCGGUUUAAUUCAACAAUACGCGGGGAACCCUACCAGGGCCGACAGCAGUAUGAAGGUCAGUCUAAAUGGCUCACUUGACGCGCUGAGAGGUGGUGCAUGGCGGUCGUCAGCUCGUGCCAUGAGGUGUUCUGUUAAGUCAGAGAACGAGCGAGACCUGCGUCUUCAGUUGCUAUUAUUCUUUCCGGAGAAUAAGCACUCUGAAGAGACUGCAUUCGAAAGGAUGAGGAAGGUGCAGGCUACGGUACGUCUGUAUGCCCCGAAUGUCCUGGGCUACACGCGACAUACACUGGUUAGAACAACGGGUUGCUACUCCGAGAGGAGACGCUAAUCUCUUAAAGCUAAUCUGGUUCGAAUUGAGGGCUGUAACUCGCCCUCAUGAAGCCGAAAUCCCUAGUAAUCGUGUGUUAUUAACGCGCGGUGAAUAAGUCCCUGGCCCUUGCACUCACUGCCUGUCAAGUCAACCGAGCAGGGUUAUGAUGAGGAUCUAUUUUCGGGUAGGUUCAAAUCAUAGCUCAGUGAGGCGGAUUAAGUCAACACAAGGUAUCUGUAGGGGAACCUGCAGAUG
rnacentral:rRNA from 1 species